AACGAACGCUGGCGGCAUGCCUAACACAUGCAAGUCGAACGAGACCUUCGGGUCUAGUGGCGCACGGGUGCGUAACGCGUGGGAACCUGCCCUUAGGUUCGGAAUAACUCCCCGAAAGGGGUGCUAAUACCGGAUAAUGUCUUCGGACCAAAGAUUUAUCGCCUUUGGAUGGGCCCGCGUUGGAUUAGCUAGUUGGUAGGGUAAAAGCCUACCAAGGCGACGAUCCAUAGCUGGUCUGAGAGGAUGAUCAGCCACACUGGGACUGAGACACGGCCCAGACUCCUACGGGAGGCAGCAGUGGGGAAUAUUGGACAAUGGGCGAAAGCCUGAUCCAGCAAUGCCGCGUGAGUGAUGAAGGCCUUAGGGUUGUAAGGCUCCUUUACCCGGGAUGAUAAUGACAGUACCGGGAGAAUAAGCUCCGGCUAACUCCGUG
rnacentral:rRNA from 1 species